GACGGAGGAUGCAAGCGUUAUCCGGAAUUAUUGGGCGUAAAGCGUUCGCAGGUGGCUGUUCAAGUCUGCUGUCAAAGACCGGGGCUUAACCCCAGAAAGGCAGUGGAAACUGAACGGCUGGAGUGCAGUAUGGGUAGAGGGAAUUCCCAGUGUAGCGGUGAAAUGCGUAGAGAUUGGGAAGAACACCGGUGGCGAAAGCGCUCUGCUGGACUGCAACUGACACUGAGGGACGAAAGCUAGGGGAGUGAAAGGG
rnacentral:rRNA from 1 species